UACAUUUAUUAGUAUUGAUAAUAAAUAAAUGUAAUUUCUUAGUAAGUCAAAAACGUUUUUUAGUAAUAAAUGUUUUCCUGGUAAUACACUUCAUUUUAUAUAAUUUUAUAUAAAGAUAAAAUGUUUUACCAGCUUCCAAAUUCAAAUCUGGCAGUUUUACAUUGGAGAUUCAAGGAUACUGAGUGCAUACAGCAGCCAAAAUUGUCAAAAGAGAGCCAGACUGAAAUAAACAAUUUAUAAAAUUUUUAUUUUAUGAUACAAAAGUUAUUGCAAGUAAAUUACACAGGGAUCUUAUUAAGGACCAGUUCCAACCACAGGUUGUACCCACACUCAUGGAGGGGGCCAGAUGAUGAAGGAUGAGGAUAGCCAAGCCAGACCCAGAACCCUGAAAAAAAGUUUUCAAGAGAUGCCAGACGCAGUCCUCCUGUGUGACACGUCAGCUUAUCACUUGGCCAUCAAAUGUUUUAAGUUAAAUUCAUCAUCAACAAUUAUCCAUAUUAUUAAUUAUUCAAUUAUUUUUUGCAUUAAUUAUCCAGUUAUUUUAAUUAUUAAAAUUAUUUUAAUUAUUAAUGAUUACAACAAUGCCAACUUUUAAAUUUUAUUAUAAGCAAGAUUUAUUAAUAUUCAAAUAUUUAUAUAG
rnacentral:lncRNA from 1 species